rnacentral:rRNA from 1 species
AGAUUAAGUUAUUAAGGGCGCACGGUGGAUGCCUUGGCACUAGAAGCCGAUGAAGGACGUUACUAACGACGAUAUGCUUUGGGGAGCUGUAAGUAAGCUUUGAUCCAGAGAUUUCCGAAUGGGGAAACCCAGCAUGAGUUAUGUCAUGUUAUCGAUAUGUGAAUACAUAGCAUAUCAGAAGGCACACCCGGAGAACUGAAACAUCUUAGUACCCGGAGGAAGAGAAAGAAAAUUCGAUUCCCUUAGUAGCGGCGAGCGAAACGGGAAGAGCCCAAACCAACAAGCUUGCUUGUUGGGGUUGUAGGACACUCUAUACGGAGUUACAAAGGACGACAUUAGACGAAUCAUCUGGAAAGAUGAAUCAAAGAAGGUAAUAAUCCUGUAGUCGAAAAUGUUGUCUCUCUUGAGUGGAUCCUGAGUACGACGGGACACGUGAAAUCCCGUCGGAAUCUGGGAGGACCAUCUCCUAAGGCUAAAUACUCUCUAGUGACCGAUAGUGAACCAGUACCGUGAGGGAAAGGUGAAAAGCACCCCGGAAGGGGAGUGAAAUAGAACCUGAAACCGUGUGCUUACAAGUAGUCAGAGCCCGUUAAUGGGUGAUGGCGUGCCUUUUGUAGAAUGAACCGGCGAGUUACGAUUUGAUGCAAGGUUAAGCAGUAAAUGUGGAGCCGUAGCGAAAGCGAGUCUGAAUAGGGCGUUUAGUAUUUGGUCGUAGACCCGAAACCAGGUGAUCUACCCUUGGUCAGGUUGAAGUUCAGGUAACACUGAAUGGAGGACCGAACCGACUUACGUUGAAAAGUGAGCGGAUGAACUGAGGGUAGCGGAGAAAUUCCAAUCGAACCUGGA